rnacentral:rRNA from 1 species
GACGAACGCUGGCGGCGUGCUUAACACAUGCAAGUCGAACGGAAAGGCCCUGCUUUUGUGGGGUGCUCGAGUGGCGAACGGGUGAGUAACACGUGAGUAACCUGCCCUUGACUUUGGGAUAACUUCAGGAAACUGGGGCUAAUACCGGAUAGGAGCUCCUGCUGCAUGGUGGGGGUUGGAAAGUUUCGGCGGUUGGGGAUGGACUCGCGGCUUAUCAGCUUGUUGGUGGGGUAGUGGCUUACCAAGGCUUUGACGGGUAGCCGGCCUGAGAGGGUGACCGGCCCAAUGGGGACGGGGAUCGGGCCCAGACCCCUAGGGGGGGAAGGGGGGGGGAAAAUGCCAAAAGGGGGGGAGGCUUGAGCAGGAACCCCCGGGGGGGGGGUGCGGGCUUUGGGGUGGAAACCGGUUUUGCCCGGUGCCAAAGGGUGGGGGCCGGAAUGGGUAAAAGAAGCCCCGGCAACCUACUG